rnacentral:rRNA from 1 species
GCGCGAAAACUUUACAAUGCGGGAAACCGUGAUAAGGGAACCCCGAGUGCCCGUAAAUUCGGGCUGUCCAUCAGCGUAAAUAACUGGUGAAGAAAGGGCCGGGCAAGACCGGUGCCAGCCGCCGCGGUAAUACCGGCGGCUCGAGUGGUGGCCACUAUUAUUGGGCUUAAAGCGUCCGUAGCUUGGUUGUUAAGUCUCUUGGGAAAUCUACCGGCUCAACCGGUAGGCGUUCAGGAGAUACUGGCAAUCUAGGGACCGGGAGAGGUGAGAGGUACUCCAGGGGUAGGAGUGAAAUCCUGUAAUCCUUGGGGGACCACCUGUGGCGAAGGCGUCUCACUAGAACGGCUCCGACAGUGAGGGACGAAAGCUGGGGGAGCAAACCGGAUUAGAUACCCGGGUAGUCCCAGCUGUAAACGAUGCGCGUUAGGUGUAUCGGUGACCACGAGUCACCGAGGUGCCGAAGGGAAACCGUGAAACGUGCCGCCUGGGAAGUACGGUCGCAAGGCUGAAACUUAAAGGAAUUGGCGGGGGAGCACCACAACAGGUGGAGCCUGCGGUUUAAUCGGACUCAACGCCGGAAAGCUCACCGGAUAAGACAGCGGAAUGAUAGCCGGGCUGAAGACUCUGCUUGACUAGCU